rnacentral:rRNA from 1 species
CCUACGGGAGGCAGCAGUGGGGAAUCUUGCACAAUGGGGGAAACCCUGAUGCAGCGACGCCGCGUGAGUGAAGAAGUUUUUCGGUAUGUAAAGCUCUAUCAGCAGGGAAGAUAAUGACGGUACCUGACUAAACAGCCCCGGCUAACUACGUGCCAGCAGCCGCCGUAAUACGUAGGGGGCAAGCGUUAUCCGGAUUUACUGGGUGUAACGGGUGCGUAGGUGGCAGGGCAAGUCAGAUGUGAAAGCCAGGGGCUCAACCCCGGUACUGCAGUUGAAACUGUCCAGCUGGAGUGCAGGAGAGGUAAGCGGAAGUCCUAGUGUAGCGGUGAAAUGCGUAGAUAUUAGGAGGAACACCAGUGGCGAAGGCGGCUUACUGGACUGUAACUGACACUGAGGCACGAAAGCGUGGGGAGCAAACAGGAUUAGAUACCCUAGUAGUC